rnacentral:rRNA from 1 species
UACGGAGGGUGCGAGCGUUGUCCGGAUUUACUGGGCGUAAAGAGCGCGCAGGCGGCUGGUCAAGUCCGAUGUGAAAUCUCCCGGCUUAACUGGGAAACUGCAUCGGAAACUGAUCGGCUUGAAGGUGGGAGAGGGUAGUGGAAUUCCCGGUGUAGUGGUGAAAUGCGUAGAUAUCGGGAGGAACACCAGUGGCGAAGGCGACUACCUGGCCCAUUCUUGACGCUGAGGCGCGAAAGCUAGGGGAGCGAACGGG